GUUCUGGUGGCAGGUGCUACGGAUUUUCCGUCUCCAACUGUCAAUUCUCAGAAGAAAAUAUUGUACAGAUGCCUUUUGAGUCUACAGUAAACAGUUUAUCGUGCCCCGAGUAACCGACUUUUUAAAUAUGAAAAAUCGCACAAACAAAAUCAAUCGAUCAAUUGAUAAUACAAUAUAACAAAUUGAACAUUGCAUCGUUCUUUGGUAAAACAGUGACUGCACCAAGUAUCUCUCGAGUAUUCAAAAUACUUCAGGGCCUUCCAUUUUGUGGAUAAAAAAAAAACUUUCUCUAAAAAAUUUACAUCGGAUUUGGUGAUAUGGUAGAGAAAAUUAAGAUCUAAUCAGUAAAAAUUGGAACAGCGUUAUCUAUGCUACAGACCUGCUCUUAACUGAUUGAGGUCGAAAAAAUAAAGAGUCCAGCAUUCAACUCUGGAUUGGAAGAAAUCAAAGCUGUCCUUAUUUUCGGCUAGUAGGGGAGUUUUAUUGGCGCCUUUGUUAGCUUGCCGUAAAACGUUAGAACUUAAAUAAAAUCAAGACAUUUCCAAGAAUCAACUCAGGAUUUCUUUUCACCAACUUCCUUUCUACUUCUAUAGCAAGAGUUUAUGUCAAUUCGAAAAUCUAAAAAUAAAAGCAACAACAAUAGGAAAAUCGAAAAUAACGCCGAAGCAUGCAUAAGUAAAUCA